UUACCUAUCACAUGAAUAACACUUUCCUAUGAAUUUAUCUUAAAACUAUCAUAGACCAAUUAACUUAAGUCCUCGUACUCGAACACUAUAUUACGGUCUUAGCUUGGACUCUGAAUUUCUAUCAUAAUGAGUGGUCGAUAUCAUUUAUAGGACAAAAACUAAUCUCAACCAAUCACAAUGAGACACAAUUAUAUGAAGUCAUAGUUUGGGUAGUAUACUACAUCGGUAGACUAACAUUUCUUGGUCAUAUCAAACAAGGGGAUCUAUUAUGACAACUCACGAGUUGCAAGGCUCAAACUUAACACAACAUCAAAACAAGGUGUUGUAGAAAUUGUUCAAGAGAAUCAAAAGAAUGACCAGAGGGUAUGAAAUGAUUAACUACUAGGUCGAACAAAAUGACCUCGAGUAAGAGCCCAUCUGACUUUUCAAUCGAAAGUUGAAACACAUGGGUUUUCAACCCAAAAGACGUCUACUGAGAUUUGGAUCAUGUGGACUGGCCAGGUCCAACAUCAUCACCUCCCAGUCACACGGGAAACAUCGUCCCGAACUUGAAGAGCCAUGAACAUAUUAUACAUAACAAAACAUAAGCUCAUUAUGACAACUAAACUUAUCUUAAAGUUCUCUAUCCUAUUGAUCUCAAACCCCAAACCUCUCUUAAGACAUAUACACACAGACAUACGUACACAGGCAAAACACACUAUUCUUAAAAUCUGUCCUGUAGCAAAAGUCGAUUCGAUGUUCCGUCGCACUUGAACAUUCGAACGUAGAGACUAUGGUUCAACCUUUGAUGCAACGUUUACCUUGAAUUCGUCUCGUAUUUUCAUUCUGUGCUUUUCCUUUACCUCGUACAUAUCUUUUCAUUCCUCUUUGUAGUUCAAAAGAACCAUCAUUUUCUUAAGGGAGCUGAGACGUUCUAAGUUCUCUUUCAUUCUUCUACAUCAUCACCUUAAGAAUCUAGAUUGUAGAGAUAUACUACUAAUCUAGUAGUCUAUGUUCUUUUAAAAUUGUGAUCAUGCAACUUAUAGCAAUCUAUGUUCUACCGGGAAACAUAUGUCAAUUUUUCUAUCAUUCGUCUGAUCAUACAUCAUAGACUGCGAAAAUAGCCAUGAAAGGCAAAACAUUCAACAUUUCAUCAUAACCUGCUCUUCACAUAAACAUAUUCAUGAAACAUUUUAGAACAUUAACAUCUUUAAAACGUUGAAACUGCAGUUACCUUCUUUCCUUGAUUGAGCACGAUGCAAUGGAGUGUUGAGCGGUGCCAUAUGAACCCAUGUAAGUAUAAAGAAUCAAACUAGACUCGACUCUUUAGAAUAAGGUUUCUAGGGCCAGAGCGAACGAACCGCUCUGAUACCACUCUGUCACAGCCCACUAUCCCAAUGACGGGUUAACAGGGGUUAUGACUUGGGGUGAACAAUAAGAAAUGGAAAUGGACAAUUACU
rnacentral:lncRNA from 1 species